ensembl:lncRNA
CCGGGGCCACGGCGUGCAACUGCCGCCCGCCAUUUUGGCUUCAUCCUGCCGAGUUCCGCCUCGGCUCCUAGAGGACCCUCCGUGUCCUGCUACCGCUGGAAGUGGGUCCCCCCCGGUCCCAAACGAGGUUCUUCGUGGAGGGUCCGAGAAUCGCUUUGCCAACAUAACAUUCCUUGAGUUGUUUCAGGGUCUAGUCCUUUUCUGGAAUCCUGGGCCGACAACUCUGUCUUGCUGCUGUGCCUACACGCUUGUUCUUCUGUCAGCUUCACAAGCUGGUCCCCCGUCUUCUUCAGGCGUAUUCCUACACAUCCUGUUGGUCUCAUCUUUUGUACGGCUUCCUCUGCAAAGCAUUCCUGGACUUCCCAAGUCUGGCUUAGGUGUCCCUGGGAAGAAUUCCCAACACCUCCUAUGAGUCACUGCUUUGUGGUUAGGAUAAAUCCAGGACUUUAUAGAGAUUAUUUCUUUCUUUUGACACAGCAGCUGUACGGAGCUGUUUUCGUUCAAGGACACCUGCCUUUGGCUGGAAAAAUACUAAAAUUUUGCUUUUUCGUUUUGUAAUUAGUGAGCAAUGAGGCAACAGAACCCCCCUUAUCCCACAUCUCACGGGAUGCUGUCACAUGAUAGAAGCUUAAGAAAUUUAUGUAUUAAAAGGAUAAGGAAAUGAAUGAAUUCCACAUUGUAUUGCAUAACCAACACUCCCCUCUCUCUCAUGCUUCCAUUUUAAUGAAUGGUUAAUGUGGAACCAAGAAUCAAAUCAAGUUAUUCUAUAACUUGGCUUAAACCUAAUACAUUGUAUUUUAAGGGGGGAUUCCUGAAAGCACAAACUGACUCAGAAACAGAGUCCAGUUUCGAGGGAACUAUUCUCUGUUAGGGAGAAGAGCUUGAAUUGACUCUCAUCUAAUUUGGAUUUACAACCUGCAGAUUACAUUCACUUGUUGAGACGUGUAUUGAGUUCCUAGUAUGUGUCAAGCUCUAUUCUAGAAGCUGGGGUUAAUGGCGGUGAACAAACAUGCAAGAACCUGUCACUCAAGUGGAAGAAGGCAGACAAUCCAGAAGGAAAUUAGUUUUAGAUGGUGGUAAAUGCCACAGAAAAUAAAGCAGGUAAUAAGGCUUUGGUGGGAUUCAAGGAGGAAGUACUUCAGUUAGGGAAGUGAUUUCCAAUGCACAAUCUGGGAACAAGAAUGAGUUCCAGGGGCCAGCCCAGUGGCACGGCAGUUAAGUGUGCACGCUCUGCUUCGGUGGCCUGGGGUUCACCGGUUCGAAUCCUGGGUGCGGACAUGGCACUGCUUGGCAAGCCAUGCUGUGGUAGCUGUCCCACGUAUAAAAUAGAGGAAGAUGGGCACAGAUGUUAGCUCAGGGCCAGUCUUCCUCAAAAAAAAAAAAGAAUGAGUUCCAUUGCCAGGGCAAUAAGGGGAUGGAAUAUCCCAAUCUAGGAGAGGCAUAUCUCUAAUUAUACAUACGUAAUUGACAACGUGAUUUAAAGAUUAGCCAUUUGGUUAGUUUGAUUCAUUUUAAUAAUUUCCAAGAGCCUGAAUAAUUCUGUGUAUACUGACUAAAUUUGAUUUUCGACUGCAAGUGCUGAGAGCCAGACUCCAGAAUGUGGUGCCCAUCCCAAAGUAUUGCUGCUCGUGGAUGCCUGACUAGAACAUUGUCCAGCAACUAGAAUGGCCCCAUUCCUUCAUUACUUUCUCACAUCCUGACCCACAAUUUCACUAACUGGUGAGUUAAGAACUUUUGACUGUGUGUGCUUCUAUCUUCCUAGCCUUAACUCAUUAUUGACUGAUGGAAUCACAGAGUUGGAGGUAUUCUCACCUGUGUACCAUAUGGUAUUGAAGUACAUGGAUUAAACAAAAUGGUUGGAAAAUCUCUACAUGGGACCCUAGAAUAUGCACAAGUAAACACUAAUAUUAAUAAUUUAAUAAUAAGACCUAUAAUUUAAUGACUGUUUACUAUAUGACAGGCCCUGGACUAAGGGAAAAAAUGUGACUUAGCACAUUUACUUCUCAGAACUGCCCUCUGAACUAAGUACCUUCCACAGGGGGAGAAGAGUGUGCAAUGUUAAGAACUCCUGGCUCCAAUUACUAGCUGCAUGACCUCAAGCAAAGUAUUCCUCAGCUAUAAAGUGGGGAUAACAUACGACAUACCUUGUAAGUUCUGUGUGUAUGAAGAUUAAAUGAGACAGUGGUUGUAAACUGAUAUUAAUCAUUUGUUUAACGUUAGAUUUUAGAGUUACUGUUGUAAGCUUUAAAUGUGCAGUACUUGGUAGAGAUUUGAUGAAUAUGUACUUUAAUUUUCUUUUUGUUUUCCCCUGUUUUUGUAUCACUCUUUAAUCAGUCUGAAAGGUUUCUGGCUUGAUGUAUGCCUACUUACAACUUACCAUAAAAGGAGCCUCAUGUAUACUUCCAACAGUCCCCCAACCCCUUAUGCCAAAAGCAAAUAAAAACAAUCCAGUUGAAAGCAAUGUGUGAGCUGAUAAGACUAUUUACAGCACUGUGUGAAGAGGAGUGAAAGCUUCUUGCUGUUUUUCCUUUAAGGCUUAUUUGGAGCAUGUAUAUCUUAAUAGAGUCAAACACACUACAUAGUAAACUUUUUUAUGCUUAAAAAAAUUAAUAGCGUGUCUAAAUUAUCCCAUUUUAUUUAAGAUAGAUUCAUUAUCAUUUUAAAUAUUGACUGAUAAUCCAUCAUAAUUCUCUUAUUGACAGUUGUUUUCCAUUUCAUUAAGCUAUAAAUA